CCUACGGGAGUCAGCAGUGAGGAAUAUUGGUCAAUGGGCGCGAGCCUGAACCAGCCAAGUAGCGUGAAGGAUGACUGCCCUACGGGUUGUAAACUUCUUUUAUAAAGGACUAAAGUGAGGCACGUGUGCCUUUUUGUAUGUACUUUAUGAAUAAGGAUCGGCUAACUCCGUGCCAGCAGCCGCCGUAAUACUGAGGAUCCGAGCGUUAUUCGGAUUUAUUGGGUUUAAAGGGAGCGUAGAUGGGUUGUUAAGUCCGUUGUGAAAGUUUGCGGCUCAACCGUAAAAUUGCAAUUGAUACUGGCAGCCUUGAGUACAGUUGAGGUAGGCGGAAUUCGUGGUGUAGCGGUGAAAUGCUUAGAUAUCACGAAGAACUCCGAUUGCGAAGGCAGCUUACUAAACUGCCACUGACAUUGAUGCUCGAAAGUGUGGGUAUCAAACAGGAUUAGAUACCCGGGUAGUC
rnacentral:rRNA from 1 species